AUGAAGGCCAAUCAGACUCAUGUUCAAGCUCAUUGGUGCUUUCCCGAAGUCUCCGGCGCUCGGGGAGGACCCGAGAAUGCAGAGUGCCCGGCCAAUUCGACCACCGAUUGGCCGGGGUUUCCGCCACUCAUUUCAGUGUGCAGUGUUGCAUUCCCUCUUCCACAGUGAAGACCAUCGUAGUUUCCCGCUGGGCAGAGUGACUCUCAGCAGUUAGCCACUGCCCGAGAAGCUACCUUGUAGGGCCUCCUGCUAGCAGCUGGAUCUGAGCUGGAGACCGGGAUUCCUGGGAAGUCCAGUAAUAGCUUCCCCAGUUCCUUCCUGGAUCCAAGAUCCUCCUAAGUCCCUUCCCUGGUUUGUUCAUCAUCGCACCACACCCCUUAUCUCGUGAUUCUAGGUUGUCCUGUGCUCCGGUUAGAGUAGGAAGCUAGUUAGCUUUUAACAGGAUACCUGGAGGCCAGGAAAGGGGAAGUCGUGGACGGCGCAGCUAUAAGAAAGUCAGAGGCCCGUCCUGGCAGCAAAGCCACAGGAAGCCGGAUCAAACUGGACUGGCCCAAAGUGUCUGACAAAGAAGGCUGGAAACCCCUGACCAAAUAAGGAAGGAAAGGCGCGAAACGCUGCUUUCAACACAUCCCCGCCUCGGGUAAUAAAUAUCCCACCCCUAGUUAACAGCUGUCGAUAGAAAGUAGACAUCCAAACCCCCAGUGUGCAGUUCUCCCUGGAGCGGGCCCGCUCUCACCUCUCCAGAGCAUACUUUAACUUUAAUAAACUUUCCUGCUUGCAACUGUUCAUCCACUAUGUCUGGUCCGUCCUUGAAUUCUUUCUUGCGAUGAGACCCAGAGCCUCCAGGGACAUCCUUGGAAUGCACUGGGUGGAGGCCUCAGGGGACGGACGGGUCUCGCCAGUCCACCUGGCAACAUCUUUUUGGGGAACCAGUCAGAAGGAGGUAACCUGCGUGUUGAGGGACCCUCUUCAUCGACUCCCAACAACUUCAUUUAUAAGUGAUGGUUGCACCAGGGAUUCCAAUCUAUCUGCCUUGAAGAUGAAACCUACCAACACCCUCUGGACCAAGCCUGUGACUUCCUUUUACUCCCCACAGCCCAUCAGGUUUCCUAAAAUUCAGAUAGCAAGGACUUCUGAAGCCCUCAGGCAGGGUCAACAUCCCACACCAGCAUAAAGUACUUACAGAAGAUGUACCGUCGCCCGUUUUCCCUGAAAAGAUUUUAAGGGCCCAGAGUCCAUGGUGGGGGAGGGGAUGUUAGAGUAGGCAGCUAGUUAGUUUCUAACAGGAUACGUGGAGACCAAAAAAGGGGAAGUUGUGGCCAGCGCCAUUCUAGGAAGGUCAGAGGUGGGUCCUGGCCCAAAACAAAGCCACAAGAAACCAGAUCAAACCAAGCCGGCUGACAAAGAAGGCUGGAAAGCCCUCACCAAAUUAGGAAGAAAAGGUAUGAAAUCCUGCUUCCAAGAAAUCCCCACCUCAAGUAAUAUUCCACCCCCUAAGUUAACAGCUGUCAAUAAAAGGUAGACACCCAAACCCCACAGUGUGCAGCUCUCCCUGGAGCCCAGAGCGUAGUGUCAUUGUGAUAAACUUUCUUGCUUGCAACUGCUCA